CACGGCGGCCCCUGCAGGAGAUGGCAGAUAGGUACUUUGGACCUGUUGGUAAUGAUGGCCUGAGCUAAACAUCUCCUAAUUUGAGGGGACACCCUUCUGUGUCAAAGAACAGAAUGCGAAGGAAGCUAUGGCAAGUGAUUGGAGUUGUGCUUCAAAAAUUUCAGCAGUUCAGCAGUAUUUUAUUUGCCAACCAUAAGCUCUUUACUUGAUAGCACCAUGAAAAAGCUGCUAAUGAGACUUGUUGAGCACAAAGACAGACUUGAAGAACCAAAAGCCAUUGUUUUCAAAUGAAGAAUACUGAACAGUUUUAAGCCCCAAUGCUUUUUAAUCACCACUGAGAUUUCCCCCAUAACAUCAGAAUGGCAAGCAGGCGAAAAUCCACAACACCCUGCAUGGUCCUUGCCAGCGAACAGGAUCCAGACCUCGAGCUGAUAUCAGAUUUGGAUGAAGGUCCUCCUGUACUUACACCUGUAGAAAACACCAGAGCAGAGAGUAUCUCAAGUGAUGAAGAAGUUCAUGAAUCCGUAGACUCUGACAAUCAGCAAAAUAAAAAAGUUGAAGGUGGCUAUGAAUGUAAAUAUUGUACUUUUCAAACUCCAGAUCUAAAUAUGUUUACUUUUCAUGUGGAUUCAGAACAUCCCAAUGUAGUGCUAAAUUCAUCCUAUGUUUGUGUCGAAUGCAAUUUUCUUACCAAAAGGUAUGAUGCACUUUCCGAGCAUAAUCUGAAAUAUCACCCGGGAGAAGAAAAUUUCAAGUUGACUAUGGUGAAACGAAAUAACCAGACAAUCUUUGAACAAACAAUAAAUGAUCUGACUUUUGAUGGCAGUUUUGUUAAAGAGGAGAAUUCAGAGCAAGCUGAAUCGACAGAAGUUUCUUCUUCGGGAAUAUCUAUCAGUAAAACUCCUAUCAUGAAAAUGAUGAAAAAUAAAGUGGAGAACAAACGGAUUACAGUUCAUCAUAAUUCAGUUGAGGACGUUCCGGAAGAGAAAGAGAAUGAAAUCAAACCAGACCGUGAAGGAACUGUGGAAAAUCCAAGUUCUUCAGCUUCUGAAUCGAAUACAAGUACUUCCAUUGUAAACAGAAUACAUCCAAAUACUGCCAGCACAGUUGUGACCCCGGCAGCAGUUCUUCCUGGGUUAGCACAGGUUAUCACUGCUGUAUCAGCUCAGCAGAAUUCCAAUUUGAUUCCCAAAGUCCUCAUCCCUGUUAAUAGCAUUCCUACCUACAAUGCUGCAUUGGAUAACAACCCCCUUUUGCUUAACACCUACAACAAAUUCCCUUAUCCAACAAUGUCAGAAAUUACUGUUCUUUCUGCCCAAGCAAAAUAUACGGAGGAACAGAUCAAGAUAUGGUUUUCAGCCCAACGUCUAAAACAUGGUGUUAGCUGGACUCCCGAGGAAGUAGAGGAGGCGAGAAGAAAACAAUUCAACGGAACAGUCCACACUGUACCUCAGACCAUAACUGUCAUCCCCACCCACAUUUCCACAGGGAGUAAUGGUUUACCAUCCAUCUUACAGACAUGCCAAAUAGUUGGCCAGCCAGGUCUGGUCCUUACCCAAGUGGCUGGCACGAAUACCUUGCCAGUAGCAGCACCUAUAGCCUUGACAGUGGCAGGGGUUCCAAAUCAAACAAACGCACAGAAAAGUCAGCUCCCAGCCGCUCAGCCUACUGCAGAGACCAAGCCAGCAGCAGCAGGAGCCCCAUCCUCUCAGCUUGUAAAAAAUGAGACUGCAGUGGCGAACCCUGAUGCGUUCGGCGUUCGGGCAAAAAAGACUAAAGAGCAACUGGCAGAAUUAAAAGUUAGCUACCUAAAGAAUCAGUUUCCCCAUGAUUCCGAAAUUAUCAGACUUAUGAAAAUCACAGGGCUGACAAAAGGAGAGAUUAAAAAAUGGUUUAGUGACACAAGGUACAACCAGAGAAAUUCAAAGAGUAAUCAGUGCUUACAUCUCAACAAUGAUUCCUCCGCCACUAUUAUCAUAGACUCCAGUGAUGAAACCACGGAAUCCCCAACUGUUGUUACUUCACAGCAGAAACAAUCCUGGAAUCCUUUUCCAGACUUUACUCCCCAAAAGUUUAAAGAGAAGACGGCAGAGCAGCUUCGUGCCCUACAGGCAAGUUUUCUCAACAGCUCCGUACUUACAGAAGAAGAAUUAAAUAGGUUAAGAGCGCAAACCAAACUUACCAGAAGGGAAAUUGAUGCUUGGUUUACAGAGAAGAAGAAAUCAAAAGCUUUAAAGGAAGAGAAAGGAGAAAUAGAGGAAAGCAAUGCAGGUAGUUCCAAAGAAGAAACCGGAGAAACUUCUCCUGGAGAUGAGUCUAGUGCACCUAAGUCAGGGAGUACGGGCAAAAUAUGUAAAAAAACACCCGAGCAGUUGCACAUGCUUAAAAGCGCAUUUGUCCGAACACAGUGGCCGUCGCCAGAAGAGUAUGACAAGUUGGCUGAAGAAAGUGGGCUUGCUAGAACAGACAUAGUUAGUUGGUUUGGGGACACCCGUUAUGCUUGGAAAAAUGGAAACUUAAAAUGGUACUACUACUAUCAAAGCGCCAAUUCAAGCAGUAUGAAUGGUCUGUCUUCUCUUAGAAAAAGGGGGAGAGGGAGACCCAAAGGAAGGGGAAGAGGAAGACCUCGCGGGCGGCCCAGAGGAAGCAAGAGAAUGAACAACUGGGACAGGGGGCCGUCCCUCAUCAAAUUUAAAACUGGAACUGCAAUACUUAAGGAUUAUUACCUGAAGCACAAAUUUCUUAAUGAGCAAGACCUCGAUGAACUUGUUAACAAAUCACAUAUGGGCUACGAGCAGGUCAGAGAAUGGUUUGCUGAAAGACAGAGAAGAUCAGAGUUAGGUAUAGAAUUAUUUGAGGAAAAUGAGGAGGAAGAUGAAGUUAUUGAUGAUCAGGAAGAGGAUGAAGAAGAAACAGAUGACAGUGACACUUGGGAACCCCCACGACAUGUGAAGCGGAAGCUUUCUAAAUCAGAUGACUGAAAUGAAAGAAUUCAAAAACGAAAACUAAAAAGAAGGGGAAAAGUAUACCGAAGGAAAGACUUACCACAGGGGUGAAGAUUGCUCAGUUUUAGGAAACUAGUCCAAAAGCACCUUGUUGUCAGAAAUCACUGCAGUGUUCUGAAACAGCAGGGGAGGAAAAGAGGCUUAGACCCUCAUCAUCUGCCUAAAACGUUGGAGGAGAAUCAAUUCUUCAACUCCAGAUGUCUGGUUUACUGUGAAUGGGCUCAAUCUUUGAUGACACUGAAAACGUUUGGGGGCAUACACAAUCUCAAAAAAUAGGAUCCAAUACCCAAAAACAGUGGGACUCAAUGUUGUGUCAAAGUUAAACUGCUGCAGACGGCAGAAGUCCUGCAGCGCACACAGGACACUAAUUAAAACAACUUGUAAGCAGUCACAUUUCAAUGAAGUGCAUUUUUAUUCUGAUAUGAUGGAGACAUUCUGAUUCUUAGACUUUCUGAGGGGGUUUAAUGACCACUAGAGCUUGUCCUCAUAUUCUGUUCAGCUUAAUACUGUAUGUCUUGUAAGAUGGGCCUUAUUGCCUGUAUUCUUUGAUAUAUGAUUAAGAUUAUAGCUUUGAGUGACCAAACAUUUUACAGAGUAAAACUUGUUUGAAGCAGGAAAAAGAAAAAUCUGAUUUAUUUCUAUGUCUCAUUUCUCAGGCCCUGCACUAAGAUUAAGGAGUUGUGCGUGGGUUUAUGUAAUUACAGCGUAAGUGAAAAACAGGCUUUGGACAUAUUGGAGCAAGAAGGUUUUGUGGUAUCAUUGGCGCUUAAUUUAAUGAUUGGAUCUUUCAUUGAACACAUUCAUGGAUACCACUAUUACUACUUGUAAUACUCUGUUACUUUUUUUCAUUAGAAAUUGAAUUAGCUUUUUCUUAAACCGAACAUAAUCAGUACUGAAAAAGGGAAAGAAACUGGCAUAAGAAUUUGGAUAGGGUGAAACUCUGAAAUAAAUAUUGUACCAAAAAUGUGAAAAAGAACCAUGUAGUAAAUAUUAACUUAGUGUUUUCUUACAAUCGUAUAGAAAUCAGAAAUUUUGUACAGGUGACAGAUCAGAAUUUUCAAGAAUUAUCUUUUGGUGAAAUUCUACUUUGUGUAACAACUUCAAUGAAUAAAGAAAAAAAUUCUGAACUGAUCAGAAUGAGGUAAAACUUAGCUUCUCACUUAUGAACAUGGCAGUGUUCACUGUUAACUCUUGCCAUUUCAGGAGACUGAAAGUUCCUCCUAACUCAAACUUUGUAAAGACCGGUGCUGUUCAUUCGUGUUGAGAAGGACCCUUUCCUUUGUGACUACAGGACCAUUUUUCAAAAUGUGCUUUCUUCAUAGAAGAAAUGUUCAGUUUCAUUAGCUUUGGAUUUUAAAAUGUUUUUCUGAAUGACCAGAUGUAGUGGGCUUGGCCAGUUUAUUUUAUCUAAUUUAAUGAAUAAUAAAUAUUAAGCUCUUGUUUUUACCUAAAUGUCAUCUAAUGAAAAUGUUAUUAAAAAGCCUUGACUAUGCAUGCUGCUUUCAUUUUUAUAAACUUUUCAUUUUUUAACUAUAGCUUUAUUAGUAAUUCCAAAAUGCUGCAAUUUAGCUUAUUUCUUCAUUCAAACAGCUGGCUUUGUGGGUGGCUUUUUCAUACUACUGUUAACUUUUUUUAAGAGAAGCAAUGUAAAGACAGUAACGAUUUAAUGCACUAAACUGUUCUUUCUUUUACACGUUUAAAAACUUCUUAAAGCACUCUGUAUUAUAAUGAUUAAAUUGCUCCCUUUUUUAAAUCAUUGCUAAUGUGGUCUGAGUUUUGUUUGACAAUAAUUUUAAUGUUUUCAAAAUUUGAAAUGUCAAGUAUUGGAAAUGAAACCUUUGAAUAUAUUUAUAUUAUGUUUCCCUUGCAAUAUGUUAACUUUGUAUAACUGUAAAUAACUAUUAGUAAUUUUUCCCCAGUCUCUGAAGACUUGACACUGAAAUCUGCUCUGAUGUUUGCUAGCUUUUAAAUAUAUUUAUUUGACAGAGCAAAGAACCCUCUUCUCCUGGUUAACUGUGUCCUUGAAUACAAAAUAAAAGUUAGCAGUGA